GCUUAACGACACACGGAACUAGAUUUUUCUCCCUUUAGAUAUGUUAAUGUGACUGGCCUAGUUAAAGGGACAGCCCAAUCAAAGGCGAUGAAACAGCCGGGCUUGUGACAAGGAGAGACCUGCUAGGAAUGCUUCAAAGUUUGCUGCACAGCCUUCUAGGGGCCAAGAAGGGGUGGGAGUUCUGCACCCACCCCUAAGGCGCCGGGUGCGCAAGACGUGUGGUAACCCACUGCAGACAUAUUAAAUGAAUGUUGUAGGAUGAAUGGCAACCACAAGGCGUAUCCAGUCUCCACAAUGAUGAGAAGAUAUGAAGGCGAAUCGACCUCGUGUACUUCAGAGUCCACAUUGCAGUUUGAUCACAGUCACUGAGGGGGACGCAAAAGCCUAGUAUCAGCAGCAAGGGACUAAAUGGAAAACAAACAUUGAACCAACAAAGCUCAAAUUUUCGUGCAUUCAAUAGAUAAAAUUGCCAAACGUGAGGCCUGGUGGACUGCAAAGGCUAAAAAUGAAAUUUCUAAGAGCUGUUCGUCAACUAAGUUUCUUAGUUUAAAGAAUACGGCGACAGUCACGGGUUACACAAACUUUCUGAGCUUCACAAUAAUGUCGAUCAACAUGACGGUGUUUGUAAUUACCAGCCUUUUUCUGCUUGUAAUCCUGAAGGACUGCUCAGGACAUGAAAUCCAAGGAUGCAGCCCUGAAACCAUCAAGGAGGUGAAUGCUUCUAGGAAUGUUUUUGAAUGUGUCAACAUUAAGCCUGACCAGCAUGUGUCAUGGAACAUAUACAAGAUGGACGACAAGACUGGAAAACUACGGCGUAUCCCUUCUGCGGUUUGCUCUUCGUUCGAUAUAUGCCGAAACUUUUUGGCAAAUGUUAAUGUAGAGAAAAAGAAGUCCAAUACCAGUUUGCUCACAGUUUUUCAUAAAAUUAUGUUUCAUGUCAUGAGAAUCUGGAGUACGGUUUUAAAACAUCAUACCGUCCACGACACGACAACGAAUAACCCUGCGACAUAAUAAUGAGAUGUAACUAAAGAAGCUAUUGCCCCUUAGGUUUUAACUUUAAGGUUUUUGUGAUGCAAAUUUCUUGUCUUGUUUCGUUAUGCCAUGUGUAUGAAUAUAGACAAAAGAAAUCUUUGGAACCUAUUGUUUUCAGGAAAAGUAAAGAUGACGAGACAAAAGUAGUUAAAAUCUCAUGUGUCGUGGAUUUCACAUGGCACACAAGGUGGACGUCUUCAGUCCACUUAGGCACGUUUCUUUACUUUUUUUCUUUCAUUUACUAUCUGGUAAAUAUAAAUAUUAAGAUAUCUGCUAUACGGCAGCCAGAUCAGGCUCUAUUAUGAUAUUUUUAAGCUUACCAUGUGCAGGCGGUAAAGAAAAUAAUUAACCUUAAUUUUCAGGUUGUUAGUUAUUCAAGGCUCAGGCGUUUAACCACCAGUGUUGAAAGCCUAAAACAGUAUUGAAAAAUAGGAAACAAUUCUUAAUUUUUAUGCCUAUUUUUUCAUUUUAAUAGACCCUGAUUAAAACAAAAUAAUCUUUGUCAUGUUCAUUUGAAAGUAAAAAAAAACAAAAAAAAAAUCAACAGAAUAUUUACGAGUAUCGACGCUGACGAUCUGAUAACAACAAUUCCGUCAUUCGCUUUGCGUCGACUCCUCAGUAACCUUAUCAGACGCAAACUGCUUAACACUUCAACUGUCUUCAUAUUUGAUCAAGUGAAAGUCACUGUUUACAGAAUAUUGAAUCCGGUGACUAUCUCGGGCUCAACAAUCUCUUUGUUUGACCUUAAACAGGAAUGUCUAUCGACAUAACGAUGUUUGUAAUUACCAGCCUUUUUCUGCUUGUAAUCCUGAAGGACUGCUCAGGCCAUAAAAUCGAAGGAUGCAGACCUCAAUCGCCUAUGGGAGUGAAUGCAGCUACAAACACUUUUGAAUGUGUAGACAUUCCGCCUGGUCAUCGUGUGUUAUGGUACGUCACGAAAAAGGAUCCUAAUGAUGAACACCUUGAAAUAGUCGCCAAAGUUGCGGAGUGUACUAUGGAACGCAAGGGCUGCAAGACAUACAUGAACAAUGUCAAAGCUUUCAAACAAACCGCGACCUCCAGCGUGGCGCAAAUCUUCUCACAAGAUAUGUCUGCCUUGUUGAGCAUCGGGUGUAAGGUUUUCACAGAGGGUUCACUGAUGACAGACUACGCCUGUGACUUAAUAUCAAGUGAUGUUCCAUCCUUCACCUGCAGUUUAACUCAACAACCAGACCAUUCCAUGUCAGCAGUCUGCACUAUUUUUAAGAUUUACAUACUAAGCCGAGACUACAAAUGCAAAUUUAUUCUGACAUUGCAGGAUGGGACAGUACAGACGAUCACGGACACGUCUUUCAUGAGGACGGAACAGACGGAGUGGCCCGCCACGGGCACGUGCUAUGGCCAUAACUUGCCUCGUAAAGAGCACAUUAAACAAGUGGAAGGAAUUUUUCUCCCUGACGACCUACACGCCAUCGCUAAUUUCCAAGAGUACUGAUGAACAAACCUUUCAAAUACCAUUGUAAAAUAGUCAAACUGGUUUAAGUAGUAGUAUACUGUAAUGUACAAGAAAAAUAUAACAACAUUGACAGUUUCAGAAGUGUAGGUAGUCUAAGAAAAGUCUUCUUAUAGAUGUAGAAAAUACAGGUAAGAAAUUCUUAAAAUAUAGUCACUAACUAAACCGAUUAAAAUCACUCGCCAGUAUAUAUAUAUAUAGAUAUUUAUAUUUGUAUAUAAAAUAAAGUCGUACACACACCACCAUUCCACACUGAGUGGUACACUGAUUACACUUACAGGACACAACUAAGAACAUACAUUAAAACAUAUAAUAUAAAAAUGAACAAGAAUAUGAGACGAUGUUAUUGUGUAUUGAUACUGAAUGUUUUAUUAUUGCUUUUACGACUUAAGUAGUGUGUAUCUCUAAAAUAUUUCUAAUUUCGUAUUAUCUGUUUCACGUCCUUGAUUUUAUUCUUUUAUUGUUUAUAUUUAAUGUGAGAAGCUUUUUCAGCUCGGGUGCACUUACUCUUGUGUAUAUGUAUCGCUAACAAUAUUACAAAUUUUUAAAAUAUUCAACAGCAUGAAACGUUUGCGCUUAAAUAAAUUAAGAAAAUAAAGUGGCAUUACUUUUUUGUUUCCCUUUCAUAGACAAUUUUAAAACGUCUGACAGUUUUAUUGUUUUAAACUGUUAUAAAGUAAUCCUUGGUGUUGGUAAUAAACUUUGCA